UACGGAGGGUGCAAGCGUUAUCCGGAUUUACUGGGUUUAAAGGGUGUGUAGGCGGGUCUUUUAAGUCAGUGGUGAAAUCUCCAGGCUCAACCUGGAAACUGCCAUUGAUACUAUUUACCUUGAAUUCUGUUGAGGUGGGCGGAAUACAUCAUGUAGCGGUGAAAUGCUUAGAUAUGAUGUAGAACACCAAUUGCGAAGGCAGCUCACUAAACAGACAUUUGACGCUG
rnacentral:rRNA from 1 species